CCAAGGAAGGCAGCAGGCGCGCAAAUUACCCACUCCCGGCACGGGGAGGUAGUGACGAAAAAUAACAAUACGGGACUCUUUUGAGACCCCGUAAUUGGAAUGAGUACACUCUAAAUCCUUUAACGAUGAACUAUUGGAGGUAAAGUCUGGUGCCAGCAUCCGCGGUAACUCCAGCUCCAAUAGCGUAUAUUAAAGUUGUUGCGGUUAAAAAGCUCGUAGUUGGAUCUCAGUUUGCGCGCGGGCGGUCCGACGCGAGUCGGUUACUGCCCGUGCGCGACCGUGCCGCCGGUUUCCCUGGAUGAUCUUCACCGGUUGUCCCGGGUGACCGGCAAGUUUACUUUGAAAAAAUUAGAGUGCUCAAAGCAGGCCGUUCUCGCCUGAAUAAUGGUGCAUGGAAUAAUGGAAUAGGACCUCGGUUCUAUUUUGUUGGUUUUCGGAACACGAGGUAAUGAUUAAGAGGGACAGACGGGGGCAUUCGUAUUGCGACGCUAGAGGUGAAAUUCUUGGACCGCCGCACGACGAACUACUGCGAAAGCAUUUGCCAAGAAUGUUUCCAUUAAUCAAGAACGAAAGUCAGAGGUUCGAAGGCGAUCAGAUACCGCCCUAGUUCUGACCAUAAACGAUGCCAGCCAGCGAUCCGGCUGCGUUCCUCAAAUGACGCGCCGGGCAGCUUCCGGGAAACCAAAGCUUUUGGGUUCCGGGGGGAGUAUGGUUGCAAAGCUGAAACUUAAAGGAAUUGACGGAAGCGCACACAAGAAAUGGGGCCUGCGGCUUAAUUUGACUCAACACGGUGCAACUCACCCGGCCCGGACACAGGAAGGAUUGACAGAU
rnacentral:rRNA from 1 species